CUGCAGCCCGAGUGGUGGCCGAUAUUAUUGAGCCUAAAGCGUCCGUAGCCGGUCUGGUAAAUUCUUGGGUAAAUCGGGCAGCUUAACUGUCCGAAUUCCGAGGAGACUGCCAGACUUGGGACCGGGAGAGGUCAGAGGUACUCCAGGGGUAGGGGCUAAAUCCUGUAAUCCUUGGGGGACCACCAGUGGCGAAGGCGUCUGACUAGAACGGAUCCGACGGUAAGGGACGAAACCCUGGGGCGCAAACCGGAUUAGAUACCCGAGUAGUCC
rnacentral:rRNA from 1 species